ensembl:rRNA 5S_rRNA 5S ribosomal RNA
GUCUAUGGCCAUACCACCCUGAAGGCGCCCAAUCUUGUCUGAUCUCGGAAGCUAAGCAGGGUCGGGCCUAGUUAGUACUUGGAUGGAAGAAGACAGUGACAUGGAGGCCAGGGCU